GCAGGUAUCGGUGGUGGUAUUUGUGUUCAGAUGUAAUAAGUAUUGAUGGUGGUUUUGUGGAAAUUGUGUGUUGUGUAAUUGUUUGAGGAUCGAGGUAUGAUUAAAUUUAGAAUGAAUUCGUAUAUUGCCGUAAUUUAAUAAGAUUUUGUGUAGUUUUGGAGGAUAAAAUGAUAAAUAGUAAAGUGAAUGUACUAGAAGAGUUCUCAGCCUUACUUUUUUGUGUAUCAUUGGUUGGUUACGUUUUAGUUUAAGCCCAUAGUGGAUUCGGUAUUGGAUUCACGACGGUGGUCAGUAGCGUCAUAAUUAAACCCUCUUUCAAUUGUCGUAUCUAUUGUCGUAUUAUUAAAGUUUGCCAAAAAGAAUCUAGUAAUAAGAUGACAUAAACCAUAUGUUUUACUAUUGGCAUAUUGGUAUUCUUUCUAGGAUAGCUGUCUGUAAUGCAAAGGUAUUAGUAACAUAAAAUUCUUUUGUAAGAUUAACUUUGUAUUUCUUGCCGACUCUACUCAGAAUCAACAUUCUAGAUAGCUUGAUAGCUGUGACUUCACACUAACAAUGAAAUAUUACAAAAUGUAAAUUGAUGAUUAAGGAGUUCACCUUAAAACUUUCAUGAAUAAGACUUUGUUAACAAUAUUUAAGUCAAUACUCUUAUUAUUUCAAUUCGAAGAUUCGUUUAUAUUAGCUUAAAAGAUAAAAGUGAUUUAUAUGACUUCAAAAUUAACUGUAAAAGUGUUGUAAAGAAUGAAUAAAUCUUAAAAUAUUUCUUUUCAACAGAUUUAAAAAAGCAAAAUCUAAAUUCGACUGAUGUUUAUUCGAAAGCUGAUGCUUGUUAUAAUUAUGGUCCCAUUUGAAUUUGAGCGAGAUUUUUUUGAGUAGUUUUUGAGUUGAUCCUGAUAAUGAUUAUUUAGUUAACUAUUUUUCCGACCGCCUGCGUCGAUUUUGUUUUCAUUUUAUUAAUUAUUAUCAAUGUCAAUUAAAAUUCACUUCUCGAUAAUAAAUACAAUUACUAUUUAUUGAAA